UACGUAGGGUGCAAGCGUUAAUCGGAAUUACUGGGCGUAAAGCGUGCGCAGGCGGUUAUAUAAGACAGAUGUGAAAUCCCCGGGCUUAACCUGGGAAUGGCGCUUGUGACUGCAAAGCUGGAGUGCGGCAGAGGGGGAUGGAAUUCCGCGUGUAGCAGUGAAAUGCGUAGAUAUGCGGAGGAACACCAAUGGCGAAGGCAAUCCCCUGGGCCUGUACUGACGCUCAUGCACGAAAGCGUGGGGAGCAAACAGG
rnacentral:rRNA from 1 species